rnacentral:rRNA from 1 species
CUCCGGUUGAUCCUGCCGGACCCGACUGCUAUCAGAGUGGGACUAAGCCAUGCUAGUCAACGCAGCAAUGCGUGGCAUACGGCUCAGUAACACGUAGUCAACAUGCCCAGGGGACGUGGAUAACCUCGGGAAACUGAGGAUAAACCGCGAUAGGCCAAGGUUUCUGGAAUGGACACUGGCUGAAACCUAUAUGGCCCCUGGAUUGGACUGCGGCCGAUCAGGCUGUUGGUGAGGUAAUGGCCCACCAAACCUGUAACCGGUACGGGCUUUGAGAGAAGGAGCCCGGAGAUGGGCACUGAGACAAGGGCCCAGGCCCUAUGGGGCGCAGCAGGCGCGAAAAUUCUGCAAUAGGCGAAAGCUUGACAGAGUUACUCUGAGUGAUGCCCGCUAAGGGCAUCUUUUGGCACCUCUAAAAAUGGUGCAGAAUAAGGGGUGGGCAAGUCUGGUGUCAGCCGCCGCGGUAAUACCAGCACCCCGAGUGGUCGGGACGAUUAUUGGGCCUAAAGCAUCCGUAGAAAGUUCUGCAAGUCUUCCGUUAAAUCCACCUGCUCAACAGAUGGGCUGCGGGAGAUACUACAGGGCUAGGAGGCGGGAGAGGCAAGCGGUACUCAGUGGGUAGGGGUAAAAUCCUCUGAUCCACUGAAGACCACCAGUGGCGAAGGCGGCUUGCCAGAACGCGCUCGACGGUGAGGGAUGAAAGCUGGGGGAGCAAACCGGAUUAGAUACCCGGGUAGUCCCAGCUGUAAACGAUGCAGACUCGGUGAUGGGUUGGCUUUGCGCCAACCCAGUGCCGCAGGGAAGCCGUUAAGUCUGCCACGUGGGGAGUACGGUCGCAAGACUGAAACUUAAAGCUUAAAGCGGGGAGCA